AUACGUCAUAGGCCACGCCCACUGGAUACGAAGGCAGCGCGGGAGUCAGAUGAGGUCAGGAACGUAUGGCCGUCCCGUUGCUAGAACACGGCAGCGCCAAACAUUUCACUGACUACUGCUUCCUCAACUUGGGCCAAUACAGAGCUGGACUUGCUCAACGUCUGAAAAUCAAGUCUGGAUCAGUACCAACUCUCCUCGGCUCAGCUACAAACCUCGAAAAGGCCAGCUCAUCAAGUGCUUACAUUCAGCAGCUUCUCUCAAGGGAUGUUGCCUGCCAGACGGAAAACCUGGAAACGCAUAUUUGUAGGCACAAAGCUAUCCUUAAAGUCUAUGCAGCCCCAUUUUAAAAGUGAAGAAGACUGCGAUGCCUUUGGAGACCGUAGCACUCAGCGCAACGCCAC